AUGGGAGGCUGGGAGAAAGGUAAAGAAAUGAAGAUUGAAGACAGAGGACAGGGAAAAGACAUUGCCAUGUACUGUAUAGACAUUUGUUUUUGUUUACUCCUUUCCAGCUAGAUCACAUGCACCAGCAAAGACUUUCUAUGGUACCAGACGAGGGUGCAAUACCAGUCAUCAGCCUGUCUUCAUGGGGGAGUCGAGUGAAUUAUGCUCUGAACCUCACAUGCACACACACGCUCAGGUGCACAACAAGCAUGCACAGAGCAAUCCAGAAGACCAAAACAGAAGAGGAGCAGGGAGGACAGAGGA